GACGAACGCUGGCGGCGUGCCUAAUACAUGCAAGUCGAACGCAGUGGGGACGGGUGAGUAACACGUGGCUAACCUCCCAUCAGAGGGGAUAACACUUGGCAACAGCUGCUAAACCGAUACUGAUGGAUGGACCCGCGGUGGAUUCGCUAGUUGGUGAGGGAACGGCUCACCAAGGCCCCGAUCCAUAGCCGACCUGAGAGGGUGAUCGGCCACACUGUGACUGAGACACGGACCAGACUCCUACGGGAGGCAGCAGGAGGGAAUCUGCGGCAAUGGACGAAAGUCUGACCGAGCAACGCCGCGUGAGUGAAGAAGGUUUUCGGAUCGUAAAACUCUGUUGUUAGAGAAGCGGUAUCUGACGAGAAAGCCACGGCUAACUACGUGCCAGCAGCCGCGGUAAUUC
rnacentral:rRNA from 1 species